rnacentral:rRNA from 1 species
AUGAACGCUAGCUACAGGCUUAACACAUGCAAGUCGAGGGGCAUCAUGGUCUUAGCUUGCUAAGGCCGAUGGCGACCGGCGCACGGGUGAGUAACACGUAUCCAACCUGCCGUCUACUCUUGGACAGCCUUCUGAAAGGAAGAUUAAUACAAGAUGGCAUCAUGAGUCCGCAUGUUCACAUGAUUAAAGGUAUUCCGGUAGACGAUGGGGAUGCGUUCCAUUAGAUAGUAGGCGGGGUAACGGCCCACCUAGUCUUCGAUGGAUAGGGGUUCUGAGAGGAAGGUCCCCCACAUUGGAACUGAGACACGGUCCAAACUCCUACGGGAGGCAGCAGUGAGGAAUAUUGGUCAAUGGGCGAGAGCCUGAACCAGCCAAGUAGCGUGAAGGAUGACUGCCCUAUGGGUUGUAAACUUCUUUUAUAAAGGAAUAAAGUCGGGUAUGGAUACCCGUUUGCAUGUACUUUAUGAAUAAGGAUCGGCUAACUCCGUGCCAGCAGCCGCGGUAAUACGGAGGAUCCGAGCGUUAUCCGGAUUUAUUGGGUUUAAAGGGAGCGUAGAUGGAUGUUUAAGUCAGUUGUGAAAGUUUGCGGCUCAACCGUAAAAUUGCAGUUGAUACUGGAUAUCUUGAGUGCAGUUGAGGCAGGCGGAAUUCGUGGUGUAGCGGUGAAAUGCUUAGAUAUCACGAAGAACUCCGAUUGCGAAGGCAGCCUGCUAAGCUGCAACUGACAUUGAGGCUCGAAAGUGUGGGUAUCAAACAGGAUUAGAUACCCUGGUAGUCCACACGGUAAACGAUGAAUACUCGCUGUUUGCGAUAUACUGCAAGCGGCCAAGCGAAAGCGUUAAGCAUUCCACCUGGGGAGUACGCCGGCAACGGUGAAACUCAAAGGAAUUGACGGGGGCCCGCACAAGCGGAGGAACAUGUGGUUUAAUUCGAUGAUACGCGAGGAACCUUACCCGGGCUUAAAUUGCAGAUGAAUUACGGUGAAAGCCGUAAGCCGCAAGGCAUCUGUGAAGGUGCUGCAUGGUUGUCGUCAGCUCGUGCCGUGAGGUGUCGGCUUAAGUGCCAUAACGAGCGCAACCCUUGUUGUCAGUUACUAACAGGUUCCGCUGAGGACUCUGACAAGACUGCCAUCGUAAGAUGUGAGGAAGGUGGGGAUGACGUCAAAUCAGCACGGCCCUUACGUCCGGGGCUACACACGUGUUACAAUGGGGGGUACAGAGGGCCGCUACCACGCGAGUGGAUGCCAAUCCCCAAAACCUCUCUCAGUUCGGACUGGAGUCUGCAACCCGACUCCACGAAGCUGGAUUCGCUAGUAAUCGCGCAUCAGCCACGGCGCGGUGAAUACGUUCCCGGGCCUUGUACACACCGCCCGUCAAGCCAUGGGAGCCGGGGGUACCUGAAGUGCGUAACCGCGAGGAG